AAAGCUUUAAGUUAAUUUAAAACUAUUAACCUUCAAAGUUAAAAUUAUAAUAUUUAUAAGCUUUA
rnacentral:tRNA from 1 species